rnacentral:lncRNA from 1 species
UUUUUUAAUGUGAUCUCUCUUCUUUAUGAAUUAUUGGAUUUUUAGACCUAUCGCCCUUAAAACCUCGUCUGCUCGGGUGAAGACAAAGCAAGACAUCCCCAUCUACUACUGGACUCUGAUCUGCCGGUAUUCAAUCAAGCAAGCAUGCAAUGGCGGAACACGAAUCUUUGGACUAGUGUGGCAAUUACAUUGCUCGCAACACACACAGCAUAUGAAUCGAUGAAUUAGAAAUCUCAAAGCUUUCCAAUGGAGAAGGCGCGCAGGAUCAGUAUGGCCUGCUGCACUUCAGAUACACGAUUGAUUUCUAAUGGCCCAGCACGACCAGUUCCUGAUCGAAUCCAUGGAACACUUCGGGGUCGUCCUCGCCCACGUGAUGCUGCUCGUUGAGGGCCGCCGCGUUCGCAUGGAAGUCGGUGCUCUUGAUGGUCAUCCCAUCCGCUCCCAAUGCGACGACGUCACCCGCGACGACGUCGGUUUUCAUCAACAGCAUGCACGCGAGCAUCGCGAGGAUUACUGUCGCGCGAAGGGAGGCCAUGGCAUGCGUCGCCGUCGGUCGAGCCGGUGCGCAAGACGAAGAAACAAAGGCCAGCGGACGGACGGACGGAGGAAGGGAUGGAAGGAGGAAGGGGAGCGAAGGAAGCUAUGUAAAGGGAAGGAAGCCAUCAUUUGCG